UACGGAGGGUGCAAGCGUUAAUCGGAAUUACUGGGCGUAAAGGGCGCGUAGGCGGUUUGGUAAGUUGGGUGUGAAAGCCCCGAGCUCAACUCGGGAAUUGCAUUCAAAACUGCCAGGCUAGAGUGUGGUAGAGGGAAGCGGAAUUCCAGGUGUAGCGGUGAAAUGCGUAGAUAUCUGGAGGAACAUCAGUGGCGAAGGCGGCUUCCUGGACCAACACUGACGCUGAGGCGCGAAAGCGUGGGGAGCAAACAGG
rnacentral:rRNA from 1 species